rnacentral:rRNA from 1 species
GGCGAACGGCUGAGUAACACGUGGGCAACCUGCCCUUUGCACUGGGAUAGCCUCGGGAAACCGAGGUUAAUACCGGAUAUCCAUAUUUGUCGCAUGGCGAAUAUGGGAAAGCUCCGGCGGCAAAGGAUGGGCCCGCGGCCUGUUAGCUAGUUGGUGGGGUAGUGGCCUACCAAGGCAAUGAUGGGUAGCCGGGUUGAGAGACCGACCGGCCAGAUUGGGACUGAGACACGGCCCAGACUCCUACGGGAGGCAGCAGGC